UUAUUGGAUACAACGGUCAUUGGUGGAAAAAGCUCACCAUAAAAUCAGCUUAAAUCUUACAGGCACACGAAGAGAUGUAAUAGUCUCAAAAAAAAAAGAAUCUUGGCCUCGCCCCUAAAAGCAGGUAUUAUUAUUAGAGGUGCUGAGGGGCCACCACCAAAAAUGCCCUGUCUGCAUUCCCCAGGCUGCGAGGCAAAGAGCUAGUCUUGAGAAAGAGGGUCUCCAUGUCAUGGGCAGUGCCAGAGGCAAUUAGUUCUUCAGUUUCUCCAGCCCCAAGCCCUUUAGGGCCCCGAAAGAGAAGACCCAGCGCUCGGAACGAUGCCCAGAAAACGAGGUCAAUCAACACAAGAGCCUUCAGCCAAAAAUUAUAUACGGUAUAUACAGAAAGAAUUUAUGAAUCAUAGUUUACAACUAAUUUGGACUUCCGAGUUUCCCUUCAAGAGCUGAUCAAAAUACCCUACCGGAAGUUUUAUUUACUUUUGUACUU